CGCGCUCUGCGUCCUCGCGGCCGCCCGCCGGGGUCGGGGAUCGGUGGGAAAGCCGGUCGACCUCUGCUUGCCCUGCCUCCCGUACUGACUCUGACCUCUUCCUUGGCGGCCUGAAACAGAUGCGCCCCGGUGUGGGAUUUAGGCAGCGGUGGUGAACACCCCUCUGCCAACCCUCCCAGACUGUCCCCCGCCGUGUCCUCUCUCAGGCUGCUCUGACCCAACGCUGAGGAGCCUCUCGCUGUGCCUGCCUCUUGGGAAAGAAGACCUUGAACCUGAGCCAGACAGUAGGAAUCAAUAAUGGUGAUACUGAUGACCUCCAGUUUUGUGCAUCCAGAGAUAUUAAAAUAUGAAGUAGCAUGCAGCUUACAAUUCAUGGGAAACUAUGUUGCUUUGUAAGAGUCCCUGAGUAUUUUUGCUGCUCAUAGGUGAUAAGUGCUCAGUAAAUGGAACACAGAGGAACAAACUAUGAUGAGGGCCUAGAGGAAGGAGGGCUACAGUGGCCUGGGUGAGUCUGUCCUUAAUUACACUGUCAUUCAUUCAUUUUUUUUUUAAACAUCUUUAUUGGAGUAUAAUUGCUUUACAAUGGUGUGUUAAUUUCUGCUUUCUAACAAAGUGAAUCAGUUAUACAUAUACAUAUGUUCCCAUAUCUCUUCAUUCAUUCUUAAAUAUACAUUCCAG
rnacentral:lncRNA from 1 species